rnacentral:rRNA from 1 species
UACGUAGGGGGCUAGCGUUAUCCGGAAUUACUGGGCGUAAAGGGUGCGUAGGUGGUUUCUUAAGUCAGAGGUGAAAGGCUACGGCUCAACCGUAGUAAGCCUUUGAAACUGGGAAACUUGAGUGCAGGAGAGGAGAGUGAAAUUCCUAGUGUAGCGGUGAAAUGCGUAGAUAUUAGGAGGAACACCAGUUGCGAAGGCGGCUCUCUGGACUGUAACUGACACUGAGGCACGAAAGCGUGGGUAGCAAACAGG